UGAGGAACAUGACCUUCGGCGGGGGAUAGCCGGCCCAACGGCCGGGUAAUACCGCGUACGACCACAUGGGGACAUCCCUGAGUGGUGAAAGCAGCAAUGCGCCGAUGGAGUGCCUCGCGGCCUAUCAGCUAGUUGGUGAGGUAACGGCUCACCAAGGCGACGACGGGUAGCUGGUCUGAGAGGAUGGCCAGCCCACAGUUGGGGACUGAGACACGGCCCAGACCUGUAACCGGGGA
rnacentral:rRNA from 1 species